rnacentral:rRNA from 1 species
UACGGGGGGGGCAAGCGUUGUUCGGAAUUAUUGGGCGUAAAGCGCACGUAGGCGGCUUAGCAAGUCGGAUGUGAAAUCCCUCGGCUCAACCAAGGAAGUGCAUCCGAAACUGCUGAGCUUGAGUACUUAAGAGGAUCGCGGAAUUCCCGGUGUAGAGGUGAAAUUCGUAGAUAUGACAUAGAACACCAAUUGCGAAGGCAGCUUACUACACAGUUAUUGACACUGAGGCACGAAAGCGUGGGGAUCAAACAGG